rnacentral:rRNA from 1 species
GAUAGUGCAGUCGAGCGUUGGAUUAAGAGCUUGUCUUAUGAAGUUAGCGGCGGACGGGUGAGUAACACGUGGGUAACCUGCCCAUAAGACUGGGAUAACUCCGGGAAACCGGGGCUAAUACCGGAUAACAUUUUGAACCGCAUGGUUCGAAAUUGAAAGGCGGCUUCGGCUGUCACUUAUGGAUGGACCCGCGUCGCAUUAGCUAGUUGGUGAGGUAACGGCUCACCAAGGCAACGAUGCGUAGCCGACCUGAGAGGGUGAUCGGCCACACUGGGACUGAGACACGCCCCAGACUCCUACGGGAGGCAGCAGUAGGAAAUCUUCCGCAAUGGACGAAAGUCUGACGGAGCAACGCCGCGUGAGUGAUGAAGUCUUUCGGGUCGUAAAACUCUGUUGUUAGGAAGAACAAGUGCUAGCUGUAUAUGCUGGCACCUUGACGAUACCUAAUCAGAAAGCCACGGAUAACUACGUGCCAGCAGCCGCGGUAAUACGUAGGGGGCAAGCGUUAUCCGGAAUUAUUGGGCGUAGAGCGCGCGCAGGUGGUUUCUUAUGUCUGAUGUGAAAGCCCACGGCUCCCACCGUGGAGAGUCAUUGGAAACUGGGAGACUUGAGUGCAGAAGAGGAAAGCUGCAAAUCACAUGUGUAGCGGUGAUAAUGCGGAGAGAUAUGGAGGAACACUAGUCGCGAUAGGCGACUUUUCUGGUUUUGUAACUGACACUGAGGCGCGAAACGUGAGAGGCGCAUACAGGAUUAGAUUACCCUGCUAGUCCACGCGUAAACGAUGAGUGCUAGGUGAUUAGCAGGGUUUCCGCUCUUUCAGUGCAGAAUUCAACGCAUUAAGCACCUCCGCCUGGGGAGACGGGCGGCAAGCAUAAAACC